CCUUUGUCCUAGCCGGGGAGGGGAUUGGAAGGGGUUGGCCGAGGCGGGCGGAGACGGCGGAGGGAAGGGGCCUCCUCACCGGUGAUUAGCGGUUGGUCGGCCAAGCGGAGAUGGAGCGUGGGGCUUGAUUGCUGGAGGCGUGCGUCACAGAGAUGGCCACGGGCUGGAGAGGAACUCAGCGGAGCUCCCCGUCAUGCUCGCCGCCAACAAGCACCCAUGCUGGGGGAGGUAGUAUUUGCCGGCGUCGGUGGGGCGCAAGGUCCGACUGCGCUGACCGUCGCUCAUCGCGUCUAAAUUUUGGGGUUUGGUUGUCUAAGGAUUUUGAAAGCUGAGUGGUAACUUAGUUUUGAAUAUGUUCAAUUUAUCACUAUAGUUCUGUUUCAAAUUUUUCUUUAUCACUAUAGUCUAGUUCACUGUCAUGGUCAGCUAUUCAAUUAUCACUACAAUCUAGUUCUUGUUAUGUUUCAUUUUUCAUUCAUCACUCAUUUUUACAAGGCUAUGAUGUGGAUAUUACCAACACCUCCAUGUAUGUUUUAUGAUAACAUGAUAGUUGUCCUGUUCAGUUAAACAUUUCAUUUCUUCUUUGGUUUGUGUAUGAAUUCAGUUUUUUCCUACUUCAGAUACAAACUUAGUCCUUUUAGCUGAUAGAAUUAUAUAAACUUUAGCUUUUUCUUCGAUUUCUUUUUCUCAUUUAGUCAUUACUUGUUGCAUUCAUUUCCUUUUUUAGUCUAUCAGUUUUUAGUCAAUCAGUCUGAGUCCCUAGUGCUUACUCACUCUGUCAUUUUCCAAUGAGUCCUGAUCAUUUUCUUACCUUUAUUUUUGUACCUGUAUGUUAUAUUUCACAUCUCCGAGCCAAAGUUGUCCCACACUUACUCAACAAGUUCUCCCACACUAGUGUCAUUUUAAGUACUCUCAGGGGUUAGUGUCAUUUUUAGUUAUGUUAUUAGUUUCAGUGUUAGGUGUCAUUUUGUUCAGUUUUGUGUGUUACCACAUAGGUAGGUUAGUUAGUAUUCACUGUUCAGUCUUAAUUUAGUAUUCAUUGUUUCAGACCUAAGUCCACCACAGCCUACAACCACGAAAAAUUUGUUCUGCUUAUCUAGAUUGUUUUCUUAUUUAUGAGUAUUCAGACCUUCAGCUACUGCAGUCCUUGUUCGAUCUUCUCGAAUAAAGCCGUCCAUCCUAGUUGCUUAGUUUGUCAAGAAAUCCCAGGUAGGUUAGCAAGUUUGUUCAUACAAUUUUCAGUUUAUCUGCAUUUUGUCAUCUUACUAAUUUGGCCUUCAUAUUUAUUGCUUCACUUCAUUUUUUACAGAUCAGAUACACGCUGGAAAUGGACCAAAUGGGGCGUCAGUGGUGUCGAAUCCCAUCACAACAGAUACAUGCUUUUGACGCUCAAAGAUACAACUCUCGGAGGAAGAUCAUUUUUUGUGGGUCUACGCUAAUAAGCCUACUGACACCUGUGUCGCUUCCAGCGGCUGUAGCAGCCAAGGAGUGGUUGUUUUACGAGGGCGGAGUUUAAGAAACAACUUUUCGAAUAUCAUUGUUGUCGUAUGCUAUUCUGGCAAGAUCUUUGUUCCCAUCAUUGUUUUUUAUUAAAGGGGAACGACAAGAUGUUUCUUCUUCAGUCUUAUUUUUGAGGUAUCUAAUUCUUCCUUACGGCAAAUGUAUGGUCAAGUUCUUUUUUUUCAGUUUUUGUUUUGUAGUCUUAGACAGUACAUUUUUUCUAGGUAAAAUAUGUACACAGCAGCAGGAUAUUUCUCUGAAUUCAGUUUUUAUUCACAACAUGGGAAAAUUGUAGUAUGGGGAAUAUUUUAGUGUGGGAAAGUAUGCAGCUGGGGUUUAGUUAGAGCCAGGGCAGUAAGCUACGGCUCCAAGUCGCCCCAAUCUGGAUAAGAUCGAGGGCUACCCCAGCGUUUUUGUGUGUUAACGGGUUGGCCAGGCGGCCCGAUUAGGGGAAAGGAAGGAUGAUGCGCAAACCAUCAGAAGGGCCAAAGAGGCUGGCGCAUAGUUUUCGACCUGAACCCAGCGAGAAAACAGAUGUUUUUUUGUUACUAACAUUUUAGACUGAGUAGUCACUGCAAGACGUGUGUCAACCCUCCAUUGGAAUAAA